rnacentral:rRNA from 1 species
GGAUGAACGUUGGCGGCGUGCCUAAUACAUGCAAGUCGAACGAAGACUGUAGUAAUACUGUCUUAGUGGCGAACGGGUGAGUAACGCGUGGGUGACCUGCCCCGAAGUGUGGGAUAACAGUUCGAAAGAACUGCUAAUACCGCAUAAUAUCCAAGAGAUUAGACGCUUUUGGAUUAAAGGAGUAAUUCGCUUCGGGAGGGGCCCGCGUCCCAUCAGCUAGUUGGUAAGGUAAUGGCUUACCAAGGCGAUGACGGGUAGGGGACCUGAGAGGGUGGCCCCCCACAAUGGAACUGAAACACGGUCCAUACACCUACGGGUGGCAGCAGUAGGGAAUAUUAGUAAUGGGCGAAAGCCUGAACUAGCAACGCCGCGUGUGCGAAGAAGGCCUUCGGGUCGUAAAGCACUUUUUGAGAGGAUGAGGAAGGACGGUACUCUCAGAAUAAGUCUCGGCUAACUACGUGCCAGCAGCCGCGGUAACACGUAGGAGGCAAACGUUAUCCGGAUUCAUUGGGUUUAAAGGGUGCGUAGGCGGGCUAUUAAGUCAGUGGUGAAAUCCUGCAGCUUAACUGCAGAACUGCCGUUGAUACUGAUAGUCUUGAGUUUGGUUAAGGUAGGCGGAAUGUGUAAUGUAGCGGUGAAAUGCUUAGAUAUUACACAGAACACCAAUUGCGUAGGCAGCUUACUGAGCCGACACUGACGCUGAGGCACGAAAGCGUGGGGAUCAAACAGGAUUAGAUACCCUGGUAGUCCACGCCGUAAACGAUGAUUACUCGCUGUUGGCGAUACACUGUCAGCGGCUAAGCAAAAGCAAUAAGUAAUCCACCUGGGGAGUACGGCCGCAAGGUUGAAACUCAAAGGAAUUGACGGGGGCCCGCACAAGCGGAGGAACAUGUGGUUUAAUUCGAUGAUACGCGAGGAACCUUAUCUGGGCUUAAAUGUAGAGUGCAUUUUCUAGAGAUAGAAAUUCCCUUCGGGGCUUUCUGCAAGGUGCUGCAUGGUUGUCGUCAGCUCGUGCCGUGAGGUGUCGGGUUAAGUCCCAUAACGAGCGCAACCCUUAUCGUUAGUUGCCAGCUGGUAAAGCAGGGGACUCUAGCGAAACUGCCACCGUAAGGUGAGAGGAAGGUGGGGAUGACGUCAAAUCAGCACGGCCCUUAUGUCCAGGGCUACACACGUGUUACAAUGGCCGGUACAGAGGGCUGCUACCUGGUGACAGGAUGCUAAUCUCGAAAACCGGUCUCAGUUCGGAUCGAAGUCUGCAACUCGACUUCGUGAAGCCGGAUUCGCUAGUAAUCGCGCAUCAGCAACGGCGCGGUGAAUACGUUCCCGGGCCU